GAACCCAGUGCCUACCAAAGCCACAAGCACAAUAAAAGAGCUCUCCUGGUCCUGCAUGUCUCUGCCCUACAUGUUUCAAAGGAGGAAUUAAAAUGACUGUGGUGCACAAAGCUUUCCUCAGCAACGUUGCUCAUCCCACAUGCAAUUAUUUAUUUAUGUAUGUAUGGUUUCCCCCGAAUACCUCCCUUAGAACAUUUGAGUUAUCAGUUCUGCAAAUCAAUAAAACACAUCUGAUAUAAGGGGUCUAUCACUUCUGGGACCUGAAUAAAGAUGAGCUUGAGAAUUUUACUCUUUGAAUCAAAUAGUGAAUAUCCAACAGUUCCCGGGGCUGAAGGUGGUGGCAGUCCAAGCAGGAAAACCUUGGAUUUUCACUGCCAAAACCAGCCUAUCACUGGGAAAACAGAAAGUUCAUUCCUAGUUUGUGCCCAGAUUCCGUAAGACACAAGAUUCUGCCUUCUAUUUGAUUUCAAAAUAUAAAACCAGGUGACAGGACUGACGUGGCUGAUAAUACCUGUUACCACUCUUCAGCACUGGACAGAAACCCCAAAGUGAGACCUUUUUCACAUCACCUUCAAGGAAUCACCUGGCUCAGUGAAAAAAAAAAACAAACACCUCAUCUCUCACUCUGGCUUUCAUCAAGUAGUGGAUCGUUGCUCUAAUGACACAAGCAGUUUGCUCAGUCUGGAUCCAUCAUGUGUAAGGGAUUAGUCCUAUCAAACUGUACUGUUUUAUGCAUUUUGACAGACAAUACCCAGCUAAUUUAAACACAAUGUUUGAGUAAAUAAGUACAAAAUAUUUCCCUGCUUUCUUGUUAGUUGAAUUUUAAACCAAGAGGCUACCUUAUUAUCUCACCACUGGAUCUGUCAAGUUACCAGAUAUCUGCAUUUUACAAUGAUAAAUGUAUCAGCAGGAGGUUAUUUUGACCCUUACCAUCUUUUCAGAGAUAUCAGUUUAACACUAGCAUGCAUAAGGAGUUUUAUAGGUCCCACACUGUAUAUGUAACAAAGGGGCUUUAUAUGAGUUUGGUAUAAAUCAUGUUUCUUCUGUCCAUUUAUACUGUUUGUAAUUAAGGGCCUCAUUAAUGUCGCAGCAUAUGUUGUUUAGGAUGCAUAAGCAGGAGUACUGAAAUGUGUUAGAAUCCAAUUUAAGGCUCAGGGCUUCAAGCUUGAGGAAUUUUCACCAGCAUUGAUGGGAGUCACACAUAUGAAAGCGUUCACUGAGUUACAAAAUUCGUAUUCCUUACACAAUGCUAACAGUAAUUUUUAAGAACUAUCUCUAAUUUCCGUCCAACCUAGCCACAAUGCACUAAACACAAUCCCUCAGCACAAUGCAAUAAUUGUAGAUAAAGUCCUUCUGAAAACAACAUGAUAAUAAAUAUUUUAAAGAUUGAAAA